CAAUAGCGUAUAUUAAAGUUGUUGCAGUUAAAAAGCUCGUAGUUGGAUUUGUGGCUGUCACGGGCGGCCUAUCACUUAGUGUUAGUGCUUGCCUGUGUCGCCAUCCUUGGGUGGAGCCCGUGUGGCAUUAGGUUGUCGUGCGGGGGAUGCCCAUCGUUUACUGUGAGAAAAUUAGAGUGUUCAAAGCAGGCUUAUGCCGUUGAAUAUGUUAGCAUGGAAUAAUAGGAUAGGACCUCGGUACUAUUUUGUUGGUUUGCGCACCGAGGUAAUGAUUAAUAGGGACAGUUGGGGGUAUUCGUAUUUCAUUGUCAGAGGUGAAAUUCUUGGAUUUCUGAAAGACGAACUACUGCGAAAGCAUUUACCAAGGAUGUUUUCAUUAA
rnacentral:rRNA from 1 species